AUUGAACGCUAGCGGCAUGCUUAACACAUGCAAGUCGAACGGCAGCGGGGGAAAGCUUGCUUUCCUGCCGGCGAGUGGCGGACGGGUGAGUAACGCGUAGGAAUCUACCCAGUAGUGGGGGACAACCCGGGGAAACUCGGGCUAAUACCGCAUACGCCCUUACGGGGAAAGCGGGGGACCGAAAGGCCUCGCGCUAUUGGAUGAGCCUGCGUCAGAUUAGCUAGUUGGUAGGGUAAUGGCCUACCAAGGCGACGAUCUGUAGCUGGUCUGAGAGGACGAUCAGCCACACUGGGACUGAGACACGGCCCAGACUCCUACGGGAGGCAGCAGUGGGGAAUAUUGGACAAUGGGCGAAAGCCUGAUCCAGCAAUGCCGCGUGUGUGAAGAAGGCCUUCGGGUUGUAAAGCACUUUCAGUGGGAAAGAAAAAACUAAAGCUAAUACCUUUAGUCUUGACGUUACCCACAGAAGAAGCACCGGCUAACUCUGUGCCAGCAGCCGCCGUAAAAC
rnacentral:rRNA from 1 species